rnacentral:rRNA from 1 species
GACGAACGCUGGCGGCGUGCUUAACACAUGCAAGUCGUGCGGUAAGGCCCUUUCGGGGGUACACGAGCGGCGAACGGGUGAGUAACACGUGAGCAACCUGCACUUCACUUUGGGAUAACUGCCGGAAACGGAGGCUAAUACCGGAUAUGACUUACUCACGCAUGUGGGGAGGUGGAAAGCCUUCGGGGGGGAGGGGCUGGGCUAGCGGUUUAUCAGCUUGUUGGUGGGGUGAUGGCCUACCAAGGCUUCGACGGGUAGCCGGCCUGAGAGGGUGACCGGCCACCAUGGUACUGAGAGACGGCCCAGACUCCUACGUGAGGCAGCAGUCGGGAAUAUUAGACAAUGAGCGAAAGCCUGAUCCAGCAACGCCGCGUGAGGGAUGACGGCCUUCGGGUUGUAAACCUCUUUCGCCUGCGACGAAGCGAGAGUGACGGUAGCGGGUAAAGAAGCACCGGCCAACUACGUG